UGGCUCAGAGGUUAAAGCAUCUGCCCACAAUGCAGGAGACCCAGGUUCGAUCCCUGG
rnacentral:tRNA from 1 species